UACGUAGAAGACUAGUGUUAUUCAUCUUUAGUAGGUUUAAAGGGUACCUAGACGGUAUGAUUAGUCUUAAACAGGAUACGAUUAUACUAGAGUUAUAUAUGAGAAGGGGAGUAUUUAUGGAGUUAAGAGUUUGAAAUUCUUUGAUCCCAUGACGACUGGUAAACGGCGAAAGCAACCUUUUAUCUAAUACUGACGUUGAGGGACGAAGGCUCGGGUCACGAACAGG
rnacentral:rRNA from 1 species